GGCUGGAAAUGCUGUCUCUAAUGUGCUGGAGAACUCCGGACAGGCCGGUACCUUUAGUAAUCUUGUGCAUCGAGGUGGAACUUCGGUUCAAUGCUAACAUAGCAAGACUCGAGAGCGAACUCAAUGAUGUGGUAGAGGUUUUCUCUGAAAAGAAAGAACGGGUCUGCACACUGGUGGAUGUUAUGAAGCACAUACAAGGCAACGUUGGGCACAGUCUGAUAAAUGAGGCGGAAUUGCCUGGUGAUGAACUUCAAAUAUCAGCGCCUCACAUUUAC
rnacentral:lncRNA from 1 species